rnacentral:pre_miRNA from 1 species
AGUAGAAUUGCUGGAUCAAAUGGCAACUCUACAUUUAGCAUUCUGAGGAACUACCAAGUUUUUUUCUAAAGAAGCAAUGCCCACCAUUUUACAUUCCCACAAGCAGU